UACGGAGGGGGCUAGCGUUGUUCGGAAUUACUGGGCGUAAAGCGCACGUAGGCGGCCUCGCAAGUCUGAUGUGAAAUCCCUCGGCUCAACCGAGGACGUGCACCGGAAACUGCGGGGCUUGAGUACUGAAGAGGAUCGCGGAAUUCCCGGUGUAGAGGUGAAAUUCGUAGAUAUCGGGAGGAACACCAGUGGCGAAGGCGGCGAUCUGGGCAGAUACUGACGCUGAGGUGCGAAAGCGUGGGGAGCAAACAGG
rnacentral:rRNA from 1 species